UUUUUAUGUGGACCUCUGUCCUUGUGCCUCUGGCGCUUGGAUAGAACCAUAUAAGCAGGUGAAACUUCUUAGAGGAACUGGCGCCCGAAAAGGCGCACGAGAAAGAGCAAUAACAGGUCUGUGAUGCCCUAAGAUGUCCGGGGCCGCACGCGUGCUACAAUGACGAUGCUACUGAGCAUGAUUUACUUGUCCGAAAGGAUUGGUGAAACUGUUCAAUCAUCGUCGUGACUGGGAUUGGGGUUUGCAAUUGUCCCCCAUGAACCAGGAAUUCCUAGUAAGCACAAGUCAUAAGCUUGUGCUGAUUACGUCCCUGCCCUUUGUACACACCGCCCGUCGCUACUACCGAUUGAAUGGUUUAGCAAGGACAUUGGAUUGAGCCCUUGCGGUUUCGGCUGCUUGGGUUUGAGAAGAUGUCCGAACUUGAUCAUUUAGAGGAAGUAAAAGUCGUAACAAGGUUUCCGUAGGUGAACCUGCGGAAGGAUCAUUACCAAGUUUCCUAAAUACAACAUUCUGACUAUGGUUGCGCAGUGCGAUGUACUGAGCUGUACACGAUUUACGGGUCGCUCGGGAGUUGCAUUGUGUAGCAUGUUAGCAGUGUGUGAAUGAGACCCAUGUCCGGGGAUUAUGCCUCACUGCAUGGGUCGCCUGUGAUACAGAAAUGAGCUUGACGGUUCGGGUUGUAACACACCAUUACGAUCUGCGCUUAGUCUUGUUCAUCCGCCGACUCUGACUGGAGUGGUCAUGUAGUCGCAUGAAGGUGGCAACGUUCUUCAUGUGGCUUAUUGGCUACACCUUGUAUUGCAUUUGUCUAGUCAGAGACCCGGUACGUUGCAAACAUUCUCCCUUCGGGUUGAGUCCUGUGUAAAUUCCAAACAUUUUAAACAACCUUGGCUAAGUCCGGUGCUGCGUUGGUAGUCAAUACUGACAAUGUGCUGUUCUGGCCUGGUGUGCGUUGCCGCAAGGUGACAAUCGCCAACCAUUACAACUG
rnacentral:rRNA from 1 species